UCUUCCUACACCAGCAAACCACAACCUCAUCUUCCUCGACCAAGCCUCUUUUCCACUCUCCGACCAAACCCAAACUUACUCAUCAUGUCAAGGCGAAAGAGGAUAACAGGAAUGAAAGUACUUUUCUUCUUGCUUUGUACGUUGGGGCUGGGCGGGGUCAUGUCAUUGUUGUGGCGGGCAUUGUUCUCUCUGCAUCAGGCUGAAUUCGAAGUGCCUUUCAUGCCAAUUACAAACAAAGAUGAAGAGUGAAACUGCAAAGGUUUUUUUCAGGGAAUGAGGAUCAUCUCUGGUGGAUCCCUUAAGUAAAUUGUUUGCCAAUUACCUGGUGGAGCAUCUGUUCUUCUAAAGUGUCUGAUCUCCCCUUAUCAAUCAUGCUUUGAUCAUCCAAAAUUAUGUGGUGUUCGUGAACUUUGUACUUCGCUUUCAAUAUAAAAAUAUGGGGACUCAGUGUUUAUGAGUCCAAGUUGUGAUUCAACCAGAAUGAAACCCCACAGCUAGCUUGUAUUGAUCGUUUUUAGUGCAGGAUUUUGUUUUCUACAUGCAGCUAUAUAUUGGGCACAGUGGGAUUAUCUCUUUAAUUGGCAGCCAUUCGAGAC